AUAGGCAUGAAAAUGAAGGUUUCAGGACGAUUUUGGGAAACCUAACACAAAGAAACAAUUGUAAUCGAAAACACUACUGUGCAAUGUGGCUGAUAUGUGCAUCCUACCCAAAUGAAGUGGUACAGGAUUGCAACCCAGAAGAAUAUGGAGCAGCCACAUGAUCGAUGUGCGUGUUCUCCAAAAAAUGCAUGUUGGUGGGAAAAUCGUUGAUAGAAAGAAAUGAAAAUAUGCUUAGUGAAAAAUUCAGAUUCGGCUGUGUGAAAAAUAACCGUGGGGUAUUUCGCCUCAAGCCGCGAAAAACGUUAAGAAGAAAAUUACGCGUGAAGCCACCAUAAGGAAACGCUUGCUCGGG